rnacentral:rRNA from 1 species
CAGGACGAACGCUGGCGGCGCGCCUAACACAUGCAAGUCGAACGAGCGAGAGAGAGCUUGCUUCUCGAGCGAGUGGCGAACGGGUGAGUAACGCGUGAGGAACCUGCCUCAAAGAGGGGGACAACAGUUGGAAACGACUGCUAAUACCGCAUAAGCCCACGGCUCGGCAUCGAGCAGAGGGAAAAGGAGCAAUCCGCUUUGAGAUGGCCUCGCGUCCGAUUAGCUAGUUGGUGAGGUAACGGGCCCACCAAGGCGACGAUCGGUAGCCGGACUGAGAGGUUGAACGGCCACAUUGGGACUGAGACACGGCCCAGACUCCUACGGGAGGCAGCAGUGGGGAAUAUUGCACAAUGGGGGAAACCCUGAUGCAGCGACGCCGCGUGGAGGAAGAAGGUCUUCGGAUUGUAAACUCCUGUUGUUGAGGAAGAUAAUGACGAUACUCAACAAGGAAGUGACGGCUAACUACGUG